GAGGAAUAUGGAUGGCUUAGCCACUAAGCAUGACCAAUAGCCAAAAUAAAAUAGUGGGUUAAAGAUUAAUCGGUCACGGAUUUGAGCUCCAUUUAAGGGUCUGUUGUUAGCCAAUGAGUUGCUGCAUGCACAAGGUAGGGUUCAAACUCUCGACAUUUAUUUAAGCGGACGAGUGAGCUGACCACUUGAUCAACCCAAGUUGGUUUAAAUUUAUUGUUUGUUGAACAUAAAGAUAUACUCUGACUUUCGUGGGCGGGCCUGCGGUAAAUUUACCUAAAUUUCAAAUAAUAAUUAUUAAAAAAACCACAUAAAAUGAAUGUGAACACAUGCAAAAUAUUCAAUGCAAUUAGUCAAUGAGUUUAUGUUAUUAAUUAGUCAAAUGCCGCUACCACCUCUUAGUUCGCUUUUCCGGCUUCUUAGUUGCUUGAAGCAAAAUCAUAUGAGGUUUUUGUUUAUAUAUUCAAACUUAUUAUUAUUACUCUUAUUAUUAUUAUUAUUAAA